rnacentral:lncRNA from 1 species
UCACUUCUAUCUUGAGUAGUUAAAAGAUAGAACAGUCUAGUCAAGUGCCAUGUCUCUUAUUCUUGAUCAGCUAUAGCUCUGAAGUUUUUGCAGAUUUUCAAAUAAAACUCAGAGAUUCCUUGUAUGACUCUCUCAGAUCUCUCUUUUGUGGUAUUUCUGGAUCCUUACCAAGGCAGUGAUGGUAUAUACCUUCUCUCAAGAUAUGUGGUUUUUGGACAUUGCCUUCUCUCUCACCCUACUCUAAUAAGGCUUUUAUAUCUGGAGCUCAUAGGUGGGAGAUAAAAUAUACAUACUUACAAGACAUGUGUUGUAUAGUCAAACCAUGGAUCCAAAGAAACAAAUCAAUAAGUCGAAUCAAGAUGUGCAUGUGUGGCGAAUGAAUGGUAUAUGGUGAUGAUGGUGAUAACAAUGGUGGAAGUCUAAUUCUACUUUUGCUCUUUGAGGGGAUACAUACCUUCCUUGCUUUUUGAAACUUUAUGAGGAGAGUGAGAUGCUCUUCUUUUUUUUCUUUUCUCUCAGGUGGGUAUCUUGUACCCCUAAUUCUACUGUCGGACACUUGUCCAUUUUUACCUCUCGUCUCACUUUUUCUUUUUUUUCGAGGUUCCGGGCACUUGCCCCUUUUUACACUACAAGAAAUCUGCUAAUCUGUGACGGAUUCUUGAUGACGGAUUCAAAGAACGUCACAGAUGGUAUGCCACCACCAGUGGUACCCAUUCUAGUAUAGUGGAUAUCCAGCCCAAAACCCAAUACCUGCUCGCGUAUAUAAGCUGCCCAUAACCUAAUCCAUCAAAGAUUGCCUCCCCAGUCUCCACCAUCCGCCUCUCACCCAAGCGCCACCACCCCUACCGGUGUCAUCCACCUGACCUGAGCGCCACCGCCCCCAGCAAGAUGAAACUGUACCCGCUCCCAUCACACUCCAAAUCCUCCCCGUCUCUCUCUUGGCUCUCGAGCUCUCCCUCUCAUGGUGCCGACUAUCACCCUCUGCCAGAUCUGUUUGGAGGAGCGUCUCUCUCUUCCUCUACCGGAUCUGUGAGGAGGAGCGGGUGAGUGGCAGCAGCGGUGCGAGGGGUGUGCUCUCAUAGCGGAUCUCAUGCAUCUUCUCACUUACCCCUGUCGCAG